CAAAGAAAAAGUGAAACUGGCAUCUCUCACUUUGCCUACUCGCUAGAAAUGCUGAGACUUUUGGGGUGGAAGAAAUGGAAACAAAUGAAUAGUUUAAAAUGAGGCUGGAGCUGCAUUCAUUCAACUGCAUUUAUUUUCCCUGUUUGACUGAGACAGAAUGACUUGAAGAAAACUGAGUCUCUGGAAUUCACCAUAAGAUGAAGAAAAACCUGUUGUGAAAUCACACUGAGGCUUGUUACACUAUUUACUUUGCUUAGCCACCCUCCUAUUUUGAGAACUCUAACUGUGUUCAGGACAGCGCGAUAGAAAGGCGGCCGGCGAAAGGGCUCCCAGGUUUCCACUCGGCUGGCUUUGUAUGAGCAGCAGGACCCUUUUCUGGAACAUCCUCCAGCAUGGAAGUCUGAGGUGUACCAGCUGCUGUGGGGACAAUCUGGAAGAGACAUCGUCAAGGUGCACCCUCAGUGUCUGUGGAGGCUGAAUAAUGCCCUCCCCACCCAAGGAUGCCCAUGUUCUAAUCUUCAGAACCCAUGCAUGUCACCUUCUAUGACAAAAGGAACUUCACACAUGGGAUGGAGUGAAGGGUCUGGAGAUGGGGAGAUGAUCCCGGAUGAUCCAGGGAACCCCAGAGGUUACCACAAGGUCCUUACGAGAAGAAGGCAGGAGGGAGAAAAUCAGAGAAGGAGCGGCAAGGACAAAGCGGGGUCAGGGUGAGGUGAGGAAGGGGCUGAGAGCCAAGGGGUGCAGGCAUCUCUAGAAGCUGGACACGACAAGGGAACGGGUUCUCUUUGGGAGCCUCUAGAGGGAACCAGCCCUGCCCACACCUUGAUUUCAGACUUUUGUCCUCCAGAACCGUAAGAGAGCAAAUUCGUCUUGUUUUAACCCACUAAAUGUGUGGUAACUUGAUACGAUAGCAAUAUUGAAUACAAUACUGAAACUAAUACAGUACUGUAUCCAAAUAAAAAAUGUUGGGGGUUUUGUUUUUUGUUUUUAGAGACAAGGUCUCGCUCUGUGGAUCUGGCGUGCUCACAGCUGCCUGAAGCCUGGACCUCCCGGGCUCAAGCAAUCCUCCCACCUCGGCCUCCCAAAGCGCUGGGAUCACAGGCAUAUGCACCACCAUGCCCAGCCCAGAAUAACAAAUGUUUUAAAUCCACACUUUUCCGAAUGAAUUUGGGCAAGAGUCUAGGGCUUGGAUUCUGCCCUGGAGUUAAACUUUCACUCCUUCAACAAAAUAUCCUUUUGUAUUUAGGUCUUAGACGCAAAGCUUUAACUAUAACUCCACCUUAUAAAUGUAUCUGCAUCCAUGGAUUCCCUAUGAGCAAGAAAGCCUCAUGCACACGAGAUCAGCUUUCUAACGAUAACUGAGUAAUUAAUGAAUUACAAGCAAAACAAUGACAGCAAACAUUUAUUAAACCCUACAUGCUAAGGGCUGUUCUGUAGGCUUCACGUGAAGAAACAUGUAAUAACACCGUGGGGAGGGCAGAAUUUUUAUUCUCAGUUUACAGAUGAGGAAACUGACGCAAACAGAGGCUAGAUGUCUUCCUGUAACAAACCCACUUACUGACAGUCUCCUCCAAGACACACCCCCACACACACCAUUUGAACACAGAGAUCCUAGCGAAUGUGUCGUGACUGCCGCUGCCAGACACUGCUGAGAGUGCUCCAGAUCAACUCACCCAUUUAAUCCUCAGGACAACCCAUGAGGCGGUACUGUGAUCGCCCCACUUUACAGAUGAGAGGACAGACACACAGAGCCACGGAAACCAGCCCCGGGUCACACAGCUGGGAAGGGGCCGUGACUUUCCUACUCAGGCCCGCGGCACACAGAGCCCCAGAGAAAGGCUCAGGAGAAGGGAGACGCGUGGGACUAAUGGUCUUGGAAGCACAGCCGGGGUGACGGAAGCAGUGACAGCAUCUUCAUGCAGCCAGAAGCCGCUGACUCUACGAAGAAUGGAAGACGGCCUUGAGUGCUUUCCAGGUACUGGCACAUUGCCAAGGCCUCUCACGUCCCCCUUCCUGCCUGAAAAUCCACUGUUCAUGUGCUACUUCUGCCGGAGGUUUAGAUAAGAGGAGGGAGUACACAGUUUUCUGAAGGUUUGAACUUCACUAAGGAAAAAGAAUAGCCUGUACAAAUGUCAAAGCCCGAAGUGAAAACUGAAGUCCUCAGCAUAAGCAGGAACCAUUCCCAGAUGGGAGGGAAAGUGCCUAGGAAGUUGCUGAGUCCACACUCAAGUUGUUGUUUGAUAAGUUUUACAAAAUGACAAAGAUUGGGCCAUAGACAGACAUAUUUGAUGUACAUUCUGGUAUCUGCAGAUUUGAUCAGGUACAAAAUUUUUAAGCCAUAUUGAUUAUGAGACAUGUUUUGGUAUUUGCAUAUAUAUAUAUAUUUUGAGACAGAGUCUUGCUCUGUUGCCAGGCUGGAAUACAGGAGCUCAAUCUUGGCUCACUGCAACCUCUGCCUCCUGGGUUCAAGUAAUUCUCCUGCAUCAGCCUCCCAAGUAGCUGGGACUACAGGUGCGUGCCACCACACCCAGCUAAUUUUUUGUAUUUUAGUAGAGACGGGGUUUCACCAUGUUGGCCAGGAUGGUCUCGAUCUCCUGACCUCGUGAUCCACCCGCCUCAGCCUCCCAAAGUGCUGGGAUUACAGGCAUGAGCCACUGCUCCCAGCCUGGUAUUUGCAUAUUUGAUCAGGUAUAUAAUUUUUAAGCCAUUUUGAUUAUGAGAGUACAGGAAAAACAUAAACUAUACUCUGGAAAUGUAUAUGUGUAUAUUCCAUACAUACACCCCAUAUGCAUCCCACAUGUAGAUUCCAUGUAUACUCCAUGUACAUAUGACAAAAGAGCUGAUGUAUCAAAACUUCUUUUGAGAUGGCUAGAUUUAUUUUUCUAUAUUUUAAGUUUACAAAAUGCCUUUGUUUGUUGGAUUUUUCAUAAACUGGCUCCUUGCCUGAGCCGUGUGUGGAAGAGUUCUUUUAAUUUCAUAGCUUCUAAAUGUUAGCUUCUAAAUAAAUGUUGGCUACAUGAAAGAGGGGUCCUUUAUAAAUCCACGAACAAAAAUCAAAGUGUAGGAAACAAAACACACCUUUGAAUUUUAUUUCAUCUUUCUCUUGCAAGUUUCAAUCCAGGAAAGGAACCCUGUGCAGUCUGAUUUUUUCUUUUUAUACUUUAAAUUCUGGGAUACAUGUGCAGAACAUGCAGGUUUUAUACAUAGGUAUACAUGUGCCAUGGUGGUUUGCUGCACCCAUCAACCCAUAAUUUACAUUAGGUAUAUCUCCUAAUGCUACCCCUCCCCUAGCCUCCCACCCCACAAAAGCUCCAAUGUGUGAUGGUCCCCUCCCUGUGUCCACAUGUUCUCAUUGUUCAACUCCCACUUAUGAGUGAGAACAUGCAGUGUUUGGUUUUCUGUUCCUGUGUUAGUUUGCUGAGAAUGAUGGUUUCCAGCUUCAACCAUGUCCCUGCAAAGGAAAUGAACUCAUUCUUUUUUAUGGCUGCAUAGUAUUCCAUGGUGUAUAUGUACCACAUUUUCUUUAUACAGUUUAUCAUUGAUGGGCAUUUGGAUUGGUUCCAAGUCUUUGCUAUUGUGAACAGUGCUGCAAUAAACAUACAUGCACAUGUAUCUUUACAGUAGAAUGAUUUAUAGUCCUUUGGGUAUAUACCCAGUAAUGGGAUUGCUGAGUCAAAUGGUAUUUCUGGUUCUAGAUCCUUGAGGAAUUGCCAUACUGUCUUCCACAAUGGUUGAACUAAUUUACACUCCCACCAACAGGGUAAAAGUGUUCCUAUUUCUCCACAUCCUCUCCAGCACUAGUUGUUUCCUGACUUUUUAAUAAUUGCCACUCUAAC
rnacentral:lncRNA from 10 species